UAGACAGCUGUAGGAUGUAGCGAUAAAUUUAGCUAUUUUAAAAUUUUACUUAAUAUUAAUUAUCUGAUCGUAAUAAAUAAACGAAAGUAUUGUGUUAUUAUAUAUUUGUCAAUUUUAUGUCGCAGUUUAUUAUAGUGUAAUCAAUUAUCACAAGUGCGUACUUCGUGGACUUCAAAUAUUUUUUUUGUGUUUUGGCGAUGUAAUCUUAUAAAUAAUGAAACGAAAAUUGUUUCGGCUGUGCAUAUUAUAAUGUUUUGAUAAUGGCUGUGUUAUGGGUGAUUUUGCUUUUCGUCUCAACGUGGGUUUCUUCUGUCAAGUGUUUGCCAAUUGGACCAGCGCCGCAAGUCUACCCUCAUGAUGAAAAUGGAUUAAAUUUUGAAUGGAGAUCAGAGAGUGGACUAUACUUGCUGCCAGCGCUGGCGUUGGUAGUUGCCGCCGGACUGAUCUUUGGUUGCACAUGGUGUUACAGGCACAAGGAUUGUAAACAAAACGAUGGGAACGACAAUCAGUUGUUCUCAACGAGCGCGACACAGCUGCACGAUGCGCGACGGGUGGAGUGCUCGGACGCGGAGGUCGCGCUCGCCGUCGAGCCGGCUACCGCCAGCGCCGACGAACACAACAACAACAACGGGCCAAUCUCCCUCCGCGAGAUGCAGAACAUCGCCAAUAACAACGCGGGGGUGUACAUCGCCAGUGACAACGAGCAGCGCGACCGGAGCCGCGAGAGCGUCGUGCGCUUCGAGCCGCUGACCUUGCCGCCCGGCCGCGCGCUCGACCCGCUCGAGAGAUGCGCGCACUGGUUCGCUGGCGAAGAUUUCCCGAGAAAUCAACUGCAAUAUCUACGAGAGAUUGGCAGAGGAUGGUUUGGAAGGGUUGUGGAAGGUGAGAUUGAAGACGGAGCAUCAUCGAGUACAGUCGCAGUGGCGGUGCUGAACCCGACCGCCAGCUUGGAGGACAAGGCCAGGUUCCUGGACGAGGCUCGCGUGUACCGUGACCUGGCGCACGAGAAUGUGCUGCCGUACCUCGCCAAGUGUCUGCAGGAAGACCCGUGGAUGCUGAUGUUCGAACUUUGCCCCAUGAGCCUGCACCAAUACCUGGAAGAGAAUCGAGCCAACAUGGCUCGGCUCAGUGAACGGGGAAUCCCGCUACAGCUGAUGUGCGAUAUGGCGGCCGGACUCGCUCAUCUACACUCCCGGGGAUUUAUAUACAAAAUUUUGUGGAGCGGUAACGUUUUGGUUCGCGGUGGCGACAAUGUACGGGCAGUCAUCGGUUCGUAUGCGCCUACGGAGCCGACACACGCUUGUCCUGCUCCAGAAACAACGCUGCAUAACACCUACACGGCGAGUAGCGAUGUAUGGGCCUUGGGCUGCGCAGUGUGGGAAGUGUGUACGUGGGGUUCGAUGCCCCCGUCGCCGCCGCUGCAACACCUACCACGACUACCCGCCUGCCCCUACAGAGAACACUUGUAUCAAGUGAUGCAACUAUGUUGGCACCAAAAUCCAGAGAGUCGACCUACUGCCGCCCAAGUGAAUGCCCUUCUCGACCAUUUACAUUCAACCUACACCCACACGAAUACGAACAACUCUCACUUUGAGGAGCGCUGGCAAACGCUCAAGCCGAACACGAUACCAAAACUCGACGAACAUAUCGCCAUUGUACACGCACCGUCUAUCACGUCGCAAUUCGGCUCCGACCAGGAGUUCGAUAGCGCACACACCGUGCAAGAUACUCUCAGCGUUUGCGACACCGCUGUAUCCCGGUCUAGCAGCAUCAUGUCCGAUAGAGAUGUAUCCGUGCAAAAUAAAUCUGAUAGCUUAAACAACCUACACGGUUCAUUCGAAGACGUCAGAAACAUUUACCUCACACACAAUGAAGGGGCUGCUCUCGAGUGUCACCAAGGAAACGUGAUGGAAGAUAAAGAUGAACAGUCUGACAGUUUAGUUGAUCCAUGGUUAAAGGAAAUAAUUGCUGGCAGCCAGGAUGAUGUCAGCUAUUUCAAAGAUGUUAGCGACGUUAUUAAAAACCUCGAUAAUAUUUUGAAUUCCGAGAAAACAUCGAGUUCUGAAUCGAGCCAUCAAGCCAGUCCGUCACGAGAUAACCUCACUCUGGAGUGCAAAAAAGAUUAUCCGAUGCAAACAAGUCUUGUCAAGUCCCCUGGUAUUAGUAAUUUCCAAAAUAUUCUUGAAAUCAAUUUAGUUCAAGAAAUUUGUAGCAAUAAUUCAAGGGAUCCCGGGACUAGAAAUAAUGAUCAUGAUAAUACUCCUCUAAAUAUAGAUACUGUUAAACUAGGAAAUGCACGUGAACAGCCAGAUGAAAUAAACAUUCAGAGUUUGCCAGCAUUGAAUAAAGGUUUAGUAGAAAUAAAUGAAGUCAAGGAAACACCUCAAAUAGUACAAAUAGUUAAUACUGAUAAAGAUAUUCAUGAAUCUCUAACAGAUCAAAUAAAUGUAAGUAAUAAUAUACCUGUAACAGUACAAAACGCUUUAGAAGAUCUUUCUCCCGAUUCUCAUUUAGAAAAUAGUAUUAUAGAAGAUGGUACAACACAGCAGAAUAAAUACGAUAACGAAAGUGAUCAAUUCCUUGACAGUACUUCUUAUAUGGAUCUGACGACUCCCACUAACACAGUUAUAAAAAACAGUACUGAUACGAUAUCCUAUCAAAUAUCAAUCAACGAAAAUUCUGGGAAUGUAUUCGUUAAUGAAUCUACAAUCUACUUAGAUCUCCCUAGUGUUUUAAAAGAAAUAGACACUUUUAUACAUGCUGAAAAGGUGUCAAGCAGCCAGGAUAAAGAUUUUCAGAAUAAUGUGAUUACUAGUACGCCACUAGGUAGUAAAGGUUCAGAUGAAAAUAUUUUAGAAGCAAUCGAAAAUGAUGCAGCUGAUAUCUUGGUUGAUAAUACGAAAGUUCCUGAUGAGGAUAUGGGCUUAACGCUAACUAAACUGGAACAGAAAUGUGUACCUGAAUCUCUUAGUCCCUUUGAAUCUCCCUCAAAAAGUCACUACACCGAUACAUACGAUGAAAAUAGCUCAGUGGUACUGGGGCCAUUUGAAAAUUGUUCUUUAGAAUUGUAUAAAGGCUUAAAAUCAAGCAGUGAAUUAGUGGACUUGCCCAAGGAAGAGCUCUUGGCUUUCUCAUCAAACUUUAGUGAAAUAAAUCUCGAAACACCAUCUCCUUUACGAGAUAGUAAUUUUCUCAUGGAGGUACCAGAUAUAAAUCACGAUGACUUACAAUACGAUGAUACGACAACAAGUGAACCAAAGCCUCCUGUCGUUGAAUCUGUACCAACCACGAACACAGAUGAAACAGAAGAGCAGUCGAAUACGGAGAGACACAUAUCCCCUUUAACGCCUCCUAAUUCGCCGGGAAAUAUUCUGGCAUCCUCAUCACAGCCGAAAUACUUAAUAAACCCAGAAAACAAUGAAUUUCAAGAUGUCAUAAAUGAUAUUGAAAUACAAAUUACGAGCAAAAUAGCGAUGGCAGAAAACGAAAAUAAUAUGAAUUUGGAAAAUUCUGGACCGCUGAUUGAAGAAGUUUUAGAUGAUUCAAUGUUAAAGGACCAAUUGCAGGAUUCAUAUUUGGCAGGUAAUGGUGGAAGUAUAGAGGAGCCACUAGAAAAUAUAACGAUCAAUGAAGAACGAAUGAAGGAGCUACGAAAUGAAUUGGAAUUGAAACUACCAUUAGCCCAGGUAGCAGGUAUAGAACCACAGUGUGGAACGCCUCCGGCAGAAAUUUGUGUAACCUACGGAGCGCUCAGCCCCAUAGCUGAGGAGACUGGGCACCAACUCCACGCUUACGAGAACGAUGACAACUGGAACACAUCGAUCCAAACAGACUCGUCGGAGAGCUAUCCGGAUCCUUGCAACAACUCCACUGACGAGGUGACGGAUCUACCGACUGGGAUGCCAACCGGGGCGGCUCAUUCCAUUGAGCACUCCACUUACACGAUUUGCUCCAACAACCAAUCCUGCAACCAAACGUUCACACUGCAGAAAGAUACAACAAUCAGUAAAGAAAUAACAAUGAGUGCGGAUAGUUUAAAUGCUAGUCCGUUGAAAAAAAUUGAUGAAGUGUGUUCGCCGAUUGACGACAGAACCUACAAUAAGGAUGAAGAGGACAGACAGCUAGAUAACUGCGAGAGACUGUCUCAAGUAUCGCCUUUCCUGUUGAGCCCGGAGACGGAUGUAUCUGCACCAGAAAUAUCAGAUUUAAACGCAGCCCAUUUGACACUGUCGAAGAGCACUUUACCCACCGAUGCCAAAUCGUCAAAACUGUCCGAAACCCAAUGCUUGUCCAAAGCAACAAGCAUAGAUUCGUGGUGUUCGAACGACACUCUUUAUAAUGUUGAAGAAAACUUUGAUGAUCUUACCAUGGAUCCAGACUUGCCCCAACAUUUCGAACAGAACGAUAUUGAGAAAAGUGAAAGUGAUAAUACACUUACACAUAAUGAGGAAGACAAAGAAGACAGCCAUUGUUCCACUUACAUAGUUCAUGAUAGUAAAUCGGAACCGUGUGAUACGUUCUCACCUGACUCAAUAACUGCUAACGAUAAUUACACGUUUACAAAAGCGAAAACAGAUGUGGCCGGAACAACACCCUCAAAUUAUACGAAAUCCGAUUUAAACGAUUCGACAAAAAAUUCACAAACCAAAGAUCUCGCCUAUGGCACUCUGAUGUCGGGAAUGCCUUCAUUCUCAAAUUGUACUACAGACUUAGGGUUUGAGGACACUUGGAAAUUGCCACAACCUGAAUUGAUUCGAAGAUCUCCAAUCGGGAAUGAUUUUGAUAUUACACUUCCGCAACAGGUGGAAGAAAAGAAUAUAACAUUAGAAAGUCCAAUAGUACAAGAAUAUGUUCUGAAGAAAAUAGACAGUGUAGAAGUGUCUUGUUUACAAGAUGCCUCGACAGAACAUAAUUGCUCAGUAAACGAACCGAAAGAUAGCCCUGAUACAAAUUUUAGAAAUAUGAUCAAUUCAGUAACAAGCACGCCGAUUACUGACUUAGAAUGUACUACAGAUACUAUAGAGGCCAUUCCAUGCCAACUGCCCCUGGUCGAAAAUGAUAGUGGACAAUUAAGUGGCAGUUUACCAAAUUUUACAUCUUUUUUUCAAUCAGCCGAGAUAAGGCCGCAAGAUAUAAAUUCAGACCCUAAAUAUGUUCUGAAGAAAAUAGACAGUAGAGAAGUAUCCUGCUUACAAGAUGGCUCGACAGAACAUAAUUGCUCAGUAAACAAACCGAAAGAUAGCCCUGAUACAAAUUUUAGAAAUAUGGUCAAUUCAGUAACGAGCACACCGGUUACUGACUUAGAAUAUACUACAGAUGCCACGGAGGCUAUUCCAUGCCAACUGCCCCUGGUCAAAAAUGAUAGUGGAGAAAUAAGUGGCAAUUUACCAAAUUUUACAUCUUUUUUACAUUCAGCCGAGAUAAGGCCGCAAAAUCUAUCUUCAGACCCUAAAUAUGGUCCGCAGAAAAUUGACAGUGGAGAAGUAUCUUGUUUACAAAAUGACUCGACAGAACAUAAUUCCUCUAGCCCUGAUACAAAUUUUAAAAAUAUGGUCAAUACAGUAACGAGCACGCCGGUAACUGACUUAGAAUGUGAUACAGAUAUUACGGAGGCUAUUCCAUUCGAACUGCCCCUUGUCAAAAAUGAUGGUGGAGAAUUAAGUGGAAUUUUAACAAAUUUUACAUCUUUUAUACAAUCAGCCGAGAUAAGGCCGCAAGAUAUGUCUUCAUACCCUAAAUAUGUUCCGAAGGAAAUUGACAAUGGAGAAGUAUCUUGCUUACAAGAUGCCCCGACAGAACGUAAUUGCUCAGUAAAUGAACCGAAAGAUAGCCCUGAUACAAAUUUUAGAAAUAUGGUAAAUACAGUAACGAGCACGCCGGUAACUGACUUGGAAUGUACUACAGAUAUUACGGAGGCUAUUCCAUUCCAACUGCCCCUCGUCAAAAAUGAUGGUGGAGAAUUAAGUGGAAGUUUACCAAAUUUUACAUCUUUUUUACAAUCAGCCGAGAUAAGGCCGCAAGAUAUAUCUUCAGACCCUAGUAGAUUUGCUGUAAGUUCUGAAAAUAAUACUGGAGGAGAUCGCGAUGGCAGACUUCAAGCCAAUAACAGCAACACAGAUAGCCUUGCUUUAUCGAGAAAGACAUUUUCAUAUUCAGAAUUUGAAAACUCAGUUGUGGCAAAACCGCAAGAUGUGCAUUCUGGUGAAAAAUCUAGUCAAAGCGCCGAGAGCGGCGUGUGUUCUGAGGAUUUUCAGAACUUUGAAUCUUCAGUAAGAGAUCGACCACAGGAUCUUUCUUCUUUGUUGGAUGGCAGUGCACUUUUUAUCAAAACUGAAAAAAAAAUGUGCGAACAUUUGAUCAAUACGAAUCAUUCAAAAACUACACCCAGUCAAUCAACAAGUGCAAGAAAUGCCGAACAGCCACUUAUUAUAAAUCCUUCGAUUUCGAGUUUUAGGGAGUCUCCAGCACUAGGCACCACUCCCCCAAGCAUUCUUCUUUCCAAUGUGUACCCUGAGGACGAAAAUGAACAGCCGCACUCGAUUAUAGUUACCGAUAGUUCGCUAUUAGCACAGCCCAGUCCCAAAAGUUCUUCUGGACCUUUGGAAACUAAAUUAGUUGAUAAGGAAUUGAGCGGCAGUCCAAAGCUAGAAGCUAAAAUUAAUGGAAUUGAAUUUUUUAAAGAAACAAACGGUUUAAAAAAUAUUUUUUUAGAGAGUGAUAUUAGUGAAAAACAGAACAGAGUGACAGAAUUUGAUGGAAUUGAUGUAGUAGCUGAUUCCCAUGAAGAUAUAAAAUGUAAAGGAGGGGAAGUUUAUGCAACUGUUAAUUUUUUAAAUGAAACAUUUGAAGAACUAAUGGAAAGCAAUGUCGAUGAUCUAGAUACAAGUAAAUUAGAAGUGAAAAACAUUGGUAGUGAAGUUUUAACAGGAAUUGUACUCGAUAGUAAAGUGAAACAUCCGCUAAAAAUGAGUGAGGAUUGCAUUAGUCUGGAUGUAAAUGCAGAUGUUGGUAAUGAAGAAGUCGUCGAUAAAUCGGCGACUGCAAAUUUUCUUCAAAAUGAGAAGAAAUUUUGCGAUUUUGAUGCAUUCUUCCCUCUCCUGAGCGACAUUAGAUUUACCGGUCCAGGCUUAGAAUUAAUGAGUACAUCGUUCACGCAAGACUCGCCCACCGAACCUACCUCGCCGGACAGCCAGCGAGAGAGCGGGACAGACAACAAGUCCGAUAAGGCUGCUGACCUGCUGAAAGAGUGGGACAGCGACACCGACUCGCAUUCUACCAACUCGUCGAGCGGUGAAUUUAUUUGGAAGGACGGUGACGGCCACGAGACAUCCGUCGUGCCUUCCUCGCAAUUCGAUUAUCAACGGGACAGAGGGCAACCUAGCCGGGUGGACGAGUCGCUGGAGCCCGCGUCGUGCGGGGGCUCCAGCGACUCGGCCUCGGGCUCCGAGGGUGACGAGGUGGAGUUCGUGCCCUCGUCGUGGGACUGCCGCGCAGCGCCCGCCAAGUCCUCGCUCAGGAGUAUGGAGCAGUCUCCGUUACAGGACAGCAAGAAGCGCGUGGUGUUCAAGAGGCAGAAGUACCACUGCGUGUACGAGUACCCGCGGGAGACGCACGCACUAGAGCUCGACUCGCCUCACUGCGUGCCCGACCUCUCCACCUACUGCGAGUGGGAGCCUUCGAGCGCGGAAGAGGCGGAGGCGGAGUUGGACUACGGACAGCUGUUCGGUUCGCCCGCUCCUCUUGACAUGCUCGCGGCGCGGCCCGCCCUGGCGUACGGACACGAUUACGACGACGAUUUCUACAUUUCGUCAUCAGCCCGACCUUUCGAGAGCAUCGGCGUCUCUUCUCAGUUCUUUCCCGGGCUCCACCUGAAGCACGCUCUCAUGGAGGACUUCCCCCCCGCGCUCCCCCACGCCACUCCCUCAUUAGACUUCACCACACCGGACUCGGGCGUCGAGGACAUCACUCCCAGCUCUACUCUCGACGACAACUUCCAGAAACUCCAGGAGUGGAAACCGGAUAGUACUAGCUCCAGUGAAUCAGUCAGCCCCAGCUCGCCCAGUGAAGCGCUCGGCGGACUGCGACAUACUCGAGAUAAACUCAAGCUGGACUUGCCGCCAAGCCCCCACGUGCCUCCCUCACCAAGACACAGCAGGGUCUUCAACUUUGUAUUGGACAAACCUAAGAGACAGGCCGAGCCGACUACCCCACUAGUAAUGAGCGACGCGAAGCGACACGAUAUCACUCACGACGCCAGCCCGCUCGUAAUGAGCGACGAGACACCGGUCGUGACGUCACUCGCUUUACCGACCACUACUGAUGACGUCAUGCCCGAGCCAACUUUCUCUACUUUCGGGAAACCGAGCUGCAAAGCCGUCGACGCCGAGAAAAAUAUCAUACUCACGGAUGAAGAUGAUAACAUUGGAGACAAGGAGAGUUGCAAAGUGGAACCGGUGAAGGGUGAAGGGACCGUAUUGGACAGUGGCGAUGAAGACUCCGGCAUUGAAAGCAGCUCUAAAAAUACUCUCGAACGGAAAACUAAUGUCCCAAAUUCUGUUGAUUAGUCCUUUAUUUAUUAAGAAAACCAUGGGCUUUUACUGCAACCGAUUUAUUUCUAUUGAUGAAUAUAGAAUAUAAACUUAACAAUACCAGGAAUUGAUGAAAUGAAAUACUUCUAUUUUGUGGCUCUUAUAAUCAUUAUAUUUAAACAAUAACUUCAGUUACGGAGCAAAUAUAAAAUGCAAUUUAAUCAUAACGCCGUUAUAUGUAAUGUAGAUUUGCUGUCAAAUACGUUUGAAAAUCAAAAGUUGUGAUAUUUUCAAAACUAUUGGUAAAUACGGCCUAUACGAUACUUGCCUAUGGAAUUACUUCUAUUAGUCUAAGAGCUAGCAACUUUUUCGAGAGAGAAUCUGUUUCACUCUCCCGGACGUUAUGCGGGCUUGCUAGCUGGCGGCGGAGCUUGUGUUUAUUAAUAUGCAACGUACAGGUAAUGAUUUUUAAAAGGUUUUUUUCUUUUUAUUAAACUUUUUGAAACAUUAAUCUAUUUUUGCCAGAUAUUUGUGUCGUUUUUUUUUAAUAUUUUUGUUUCAUUAAUUUGAAUUGGUACUGUACACUAUCAUCAUAUUAGUUUCUAGUUCAAAAUUGUACGUCUUUACAAAAAUUCGUUACACUUUUUAACUGUCUGUUUUAGCCGUCACUUACCGUCAUAAUUUCUCUUUUAAAGAAAUUUUGUUUUUUCUUUAUUUUUGUCUUUACAAAAAACUUAUUUAAUUCUAUCACUACCUAUUGUAACAUAAUUUUCUUUGUCAAAAUUAGCGUCAUGUAUAGUGUAAAGAACGCCAAAAAUAUCUCUUAAUAAUAGAUUCAUGUUCCAAAAAGAUUAAUAAAAAGAAGUCCGAGAGAGUGAGAGAGAUAGCAUAACUAACAAUUAACCUACCUGAAUUUCUUGUUUUCUUGACCGUGCUAGCUCUCAUACUAUAUGACGCUCACAAGAUGUCACUGUUUGCAUGAGUGACGCAGUGAAGUCUCGUGAUUGGUUCUAUCAAUAAACGCCAUUUAACAACCAAUAGCGUGCCUUCAUUUGGAUAGAGCGUUAAGUUGUCGGGUCCACUUGUCGCCCAGUGAAUUGGAACAGAACAAUGGUACAAAUGUCCGUGAAUUAAUGCAAUUGUAGAUUAACUAGUUAUAGCGCUUCGUUUACUGGGAAUAUACAAUAUUAGGGCCUAUUUAAGAUUUGUACUCCGUCAUACAAGCUAGGUGUUUCAUACGUAAUGUAUAGCGUAGCGAAAUUAGUUUAAGCGUGAGGUUACAUUUGCCAAAUUGUGCGUUGUGUGUGAUCGCGCCAUGUUCGCACAAAAUGCAUCUUCCGCCGUAAUACAUUGUGCCCGCGCGGUGUAUGUAUGUGUGUGUAUUAAAUGAGGUAGAUAUAUCACCAAUUUUUUUUUAUCAUAAAACUGAAUGAACAUUUUUUUGUCUAGCAAUAAUGUCGUAUCAUUAUCAUGCUAUUUAUCUAUGAAAGUAAUAUUUCCCUGCACCUAUAAUAUGUAUGAGGCUAACAGGGUUUUAAAACUCAUGAUUAUAUUAAUAUUAGUAAUAAAUAAAACCAAUUUAAAGCUGCCACUUUGCAACACACAGAAAAAUGCACAUCAUAUAAAUUUGUGAAUGAGACCUACAUAUUAUGCGUAAAAGUAGUUUUAACAUUUUUUACCGCACAAUAAAUUAUUUCGCACAUAUUUUUUAUGAUAAGAAUCUCAUAGCGUAAGUGAGUUAGUGUAGUUGGGGACCGCACGGGCGUCCAAUGUGUAAUUGAAGCCAAUUUUUAGUAAGGAUAUCUUUUAUAGUUUUAAGUAUUAAUGGUGUGUGUGGUACUCGACACGAUCGAUCGCAAACCAUAUUAUUUCACCUGCUAAAGUUAGUAAUACUGUUUUUUGCAGAUAUAAAUAGUAAUAAAAUACUUGUGGCUAUAGAAUGCAAUUGAAAACGUACCCUCAAUAAAUAAAAAUAUAUAAAUCAGCAUAUUAUGAAACUUAAUACGAUGGUUUGCGAUAAAUAAAUACGUUCGUGUCCGUUGUUUGCGUGCGUGCGUGCGUGCGUGCAAGCGUCUUGAGUAUAGAAACGUGCAAUCAUUUCAUUUCCAAUACGUCUGAAUUUAGUUACGUGUAAAUAUUAUUUAAAGUAUCGGUUAUGUUUUUUUUUUAUUAUGAAAAUUAUGAAUUGUACACUAUUAUUUUUCUUAUUUGUUUACUAAAUGUUACGUUUGUACAGGUGUAUAUAAGUAGAUGAUUUUUGCGAUAACUCUUAGAAUACUAAUGCGGUUAGAAUCGAACGUUAAGUGAAUAGUUGCAAUAUAACUUAGCCGACCAUAUCUGGAUCUAAUUAGAUUUUAUAAAUAAUUUUUACACAUUGAUUGUUCUCUCAUUAGAUGGAUUUUUUUUAUAUCGUUUGUGCAAUUAAAUUUAUUAUUUAUAUGAAUUUCAGUAAUUACAAAAUUUUAAUUGGAGUGCAAAGUCGAUUAUUGAAUGCGUUUUUAAUAUUGCGACUUUGUUAAGUAUUUAUAUGAAAAAUAAACAAUAAAUAUGUGA